GCCUAGGGACUUCCUAAGUAGAGGUCAAGGUCCCACUGUUAUACAGGUAUAAAUUCACAGAAGUAAGAAGCUGAAUGCAGUCACAAAGAGAGCAAAGCACUUUGUAAAGUGAACUCAAUACCCCUGUUGGGGCUCAGAAAACAGUACCCCAAAGUGAAGUCCUCAUCUGACCUUCUCCUGCCCUCCCAUCCUCUCUCCCUUCCUUCUCCACUGAGGCAAGAUAGAAACUAAAAUUCCUCUUCGCCAAGAACCCCGCCUUUUUGUGUAACAGCUGGCCAUAAAGAAAUUAAGACCUUCAUUCCAGAGAGUCCUAUUGCAUGCCCGAGAGGGAGGAAGGCUGCACAGAGAGGCCAAGAAGCUGGACAGUCCUUGCUGGGUUUCCCCACGCAGUCUUUAAGCAUUCGAUCAUACCCCUUCUGUCCAGUUGUAUUUUACAUGGCUGUCCA
rnacentral:lncRNA from 1 species